rnacentral:rRNA from 1 species
CCCAGACUCCUACGGGAGGCAGCAGUGGGGAAUAUUGCACAAUGGGGGAAACCCUGAUGCAGCGACGCCGCGUGAGUGAGGAAGUAUUUCGGUAUGUAAAGCUCUCUCAGCAGGGAAGAAAAUGACGGUACCUGACUAAGAAGCCCCGGCUAACUACGUGCCAGCAGCCGCGGUAAUACGUAGGGGGCAAGCGUUAUCCGGAUUUACUGGGUGUAAGGGGGGCGCAGACGGCGAUGCAAGCCAGGAGUGAAAGCCCGGGGCCCAACCCCGGGACUGCUCUUGGAACUGCGUGGCUGGAGUGCAGGAGGGGCAGGCGGAAUUCCUGGUGUAGCGGUGAAAUGCGUAGAUAUCAGGAGGAACACCGGUGGCGAAGGCGGCCUGCUGGACUGCAACUGACGUUGAGGCCCGAAAGCGUGGGGAGCAAACAGGAUUAGAUACCCGGGUAGA